UAAAGCCCAAUACCAAUACCCAUCAUAUACAAACACCACUAUAUAACUAAAAAACCCUAGUCGUCAUCGUUUAUCUCUCUCCCCGUUUUUCUUCCCCCUCUUCGUUUGCUCUCACAACUAAAUAUAAAACUCAUCAAAGGCAAACAUUUCGAUUUUCAUUUUAACUCAUGUAAUCUAAUCUUUGUCUUCUCAGUUUUGUUUGUUAUCUUCCAUAAUACUGGUUGAAGCUUGGUGAUGGUGUUGCUGACUUUGUUAUCUUCGUCUCAGUGUCAUUCCUCUUCAUUUUCUUAAUUUCUUUUGUUGAAGUUUGAUGCUUGUUGGUUGAAAAGAUUGUAUUUGUUGAAGCCUGUGUUUGAGCCGAAUUGAGUGUUUGAGCCCGAAUCCAACCCAAAUCGCUGUCCAGCCCUAUAUAUGAUCUCUUCACCUCUAUUAUCUUUCUACUUUUCUUAUUUAUUUUCCUUUAUUACUCUGUUAUCCAAAUCAAUGGAUAUUAGUUGCAGAAUGAUGAUAAAGAUGUAAGUGUUGAAAGAACCGAAACAAUCCAUCCGACAUAAACCGUCACCGAAUGGAACCGUCAUCCGAGAAAACCGAAAUAUAAAUGGUCGAUAACGGAUCUAUAUUUAGUGUCCGUGGUUUUGUUCGUAUUGAUAUUUUUAGCCCAUCACCGACCGGAAUUGACCAUUUGUCCACCCCUACCUACAAGUACAAAAUGCCUAAAUACGAAUGUAUCUCGCGUACUAGUAGAAAAAUAACUUUAAAAUUAUUGAUAUCAUAUCUAUUUUAAAAAAUAUAUAUAAAAGUUAUAUACAAUGAUAAUUUUGUAAUUAUAAUAAAAAAACUAAUUUUUGUGUUAUUCAUUAAUAUUAAUAAAUAAGUGUAUAAUGUAUCUUACUUUUAAAACAAAACAAUUUUUUAAUAUAAAAUACUAGAUUUAAAAGAAAAUAAGUAUAAAAGGAAAAACAAUAAACAUAUAUAUUUAAAAUAAUAUUUGAUAUUAAAAAAAUAAAUUGAGAGUAAAAGUAAAUUUUGUACCUUAUAUAUUAAAAAUAAAUAUAUUCCUAAAUAAAUAUCUAAUGUAUAUUACUUUUAAAUAUGAAAUCAAAAUUAUAUAAUUUUUAGAA
rnacentral:lncRNA from 1 species